GCUUCCUGCAGAGCCGGGAGCCUGAUGUGGGGCUCGAUCCGAGGACCCUGGGAUCAUGACCUGAGCCGAAGGCAGACGCUUAACAACUGAGCCACCCAGGCGCCCCUAACUUUUGUUCUUUUUAAGUUACUCAGUGUCAUCAUAAGCACCCUUUUUUUUUUUAAGAUUUUAUUUAUUUUUAAGAGAGAGAGAGAGAUCAUGAGUGGUGGGGGGGGGCAGAGGGAGAAGCAGACUCUCCGCUGAGCAGGGAGUCCGGAUGCAGGACUCGAUUCCAGGACCCUGAGAUCAUGACCUGAGCAGAACCGACUGAGCCACCCAGGUGCCCCGAAGCCCCCAUUGUGCUCCAGUGUCCUGGAAUUCAUUCCCUUUAUAUUGUCAAAGGCAGCAAUUACCUAGUUGCAGCAGAUACCCUCUGUCAUCAAAUGGUCCUAAUUACCACCAACUGGUCAUUUAAUGAGCCGUGGACCACUGACAGUCAAGUUCUCACCCCAGCAUAUGGAUGGAAUCUUGCUGCAUUCAAUGCCAUCUUGUUGGGGUAAUAAACUCCCUGGGGACCUAUAACCUGCAACCCCCUCUCUGGUACGAGUCUGUAUAUUGGAGUUCUUCAGGUGCAAGCAACAGGGAUGACUCUGAGGCAGAAAGAGCUUGGGUUGUGUGUCCUGUCCGCUUGAGAACGGCUUGCAGAAUCAGAGAGGCCGUUGAAGAAAUGGGGAAGGCUGGAAAGGGCAGACCCAGGGCAGCGCCCAGGGCAUGGAUUUAAUCUACACUCUGUUUGGGACGCUCGCUGUAAUGAAUAAGUGGCUGCCAUAUUCUCUGUCCUUGUGUUUAUCCAUUUUACACUCAAUGUCCCUGGAAUCCUAGCUUGGGCCUUGGGUCUCCAUGUGCCUGUCAUCUUCCCUUCUCCCUCCAAAUCCACUCCUCCUUUCUCCCUGUUCUCCAUGACCCAGAACUCCUCUGGUUCCUGCCUCUUCUCUAAGCUGAUCCGUCUAGGCUACAUCGAAGGGCCCAUUGCCUCUGGAGUCCAGGUGGGCUGUGUCCCUGAACAGAAAGAAACUGCUUGGUUCAUGGUGGCCUCUUCUACUCAACGCUUUCCUAGUUCCAGAACCACUCCCUCUGCUAACUCUUCAGGUCCCUUGUAAGGACUUAGCUGAAUUCUCUAUACUGAGCAGGAAUAUCAUCCCCCUUACUCCUGAAGUUUCCUCUCGAAACUAUUUCUUAGGUGAAAAUCACACCGCAUAAGGGAUUAGUAAAGCUUUUAAUAGCCAAUAAACACACAAUUUAAAAGAGAAAAGAAACAAAACAUUGUGAUCCAGAGUCAAUUAGAGCCCACCAGGAUAGGACAUCUGCGAAAACAAUCGCCAAAACAAUGUAAGAAUGCAUCUUAAAGUUUCGGAAAUGGAAUUCAGAGAAAAUGUCCUCAAGGAAUAAUACCAAGACAGACCCACUUGAAAUGUGCGAUGGACUGAGAUGAAAGCCUCACAAAUGCCCUUAUAAAUCUUAAGAAAAAUAACAAACAGCUGGUCAGUUAAGACUCUAGUGUUACUGGGCGCCUGGGUGGCUCAGUCGGUUGAGCGUCUGCCUUCAGCUCAGGUCAUGAUCCCAGAUUGAGCCCCACAUGGGCUCCCUACUCGGCUGGGAGUCUGCUGCUCCCCCUGCCCCUCACCCCUCACGCGCACGCGCUCUCCCUGUCUCUCAAAUAAAUAAAUUUUACAGGAAAAAAAAAGACUGUAGUGUUACUGAUGAGACAGCAGGUAGAGGAAGGAGAGAUCUCGGGGACACGGGAAAUGUAGAAAUGAGUGGUCCUGACCUGCAUCCUGAGGGUACCAAGGGAUUCCCUGAAGAACUCUCAGAACCAAGGGCCUUUGAUUUAGAAAACACAACAAAACACAGAGGUCUUAUCUUCAGCAAGAAUCCCCCUGACUCCUGAGAUUUCCGCAGUGAUUUUCCAUCUGGAGGACCGCUCCCCCCCCUUCCUGCCCCUGGGCUAUACAUUCCCACUUGCCCCCAGCUGCAUUGGGAGUUGAGCCCCAGGCCUCUUCCCGCUGCAAAAUUCCAUCACAAUGGUCCCUCUACCGAUUGUGAUAGCCUCCCCCUGCCCCACCGACGCAAUAAAGUCUUCCUUACCCUGCGUAAAAAUCAAACCAAAACAGAAAACAACCGGGAAGCCCAUAAGGGUUCAAUCUUGAGAAGUCCACAAGACUAUGGUUUCAAAACGGAAACAACUGCGAGCCCUGGUAAAGCUUCAUAAACAAGCAUUUAAAAAUGAACGUUUAGAAUUCUUAAGGCUGGGCACCUGGGUGGCUCAGUUGGUUAAGCGACUGCCUUCGGCUCAGGUCGUGAUCCCGGGGUCCCGGGAUCGAGUCCCGCAUCGGGCUCCCUGCUCGGCAGGGAGUCUGCUUCGUCCUCUGACCCUAUCCCCUCUCAUGUGUUCUCUCUCUCUCCUUCUCUCUCUCUCAAAUAAAUAAAAUCUUUAAAAAAAGAACUCUUUAAAAAAAAAAAAAAGAAUUCUUAAGGCUAAGGCCACUUACAGAAGCUAUAACUUGAAUGGAAACAGCCCAGAAUAAUCUAGAGAUGUUUUCAGAGGGGGCUGUUCUGGUUUUUGCUCUGUCUCGGACUCCUGCCUGACUUAGGAUAGAUUAAUUUCCCCACUGGGGAUGUGGAUAAUGUUUCUAAUUAUGCCCAAACAAAACACUGGUUUUGACUGUUAAUAUUUGCAAUAGGAAACAUACCACGUGUCCAUGACGUGCAAAGAAAUAGUCACAGAUGGUUUAUUCUAAAAUGGUUUUACAACCCCCUGAAGUCUCAGGCACUUUGCCUUGCAAAAGAAGGAAAGGAAUUUCUGUCACAACCAUUCCCUCCCUUCACUGCCAUUCAAGGGAUAUACCUAGAUGCAAGAAGAAUGUGACAGCUAGUGGUAUGAAAUUGUCACACGCCCUCAGGACGUUCCAUCUGUAAAUGCUUUGCAUUUUUAAAAGUGUCUCCUCAUCAGCAAUCAAAUGUGAUUCUCAUA